UACGUAGGGGGCGAGCGUUGUCCGGAGUUACUGGGCGUAAAGCGCACGCAGGCGGUGCUGCGCGUUUGGGGUUACAGCUCCCGGCUCAACCGGGAGAGCGCCUCGAAGACGGCAGCACUUGAGGGCCAGAGAGGGACACGGAACUCCGGGUGGAGUGGUGAAAUGCGUAGAUAUCCGGAAGAACACCAAAGGCGAAGGCAGUGUCCUGGCUGGCACCUGACGCUCAGGUGCGAAAGCUAGGGGAGCGAACGGG
rnacentral:rRNA from 1 species